rnacentral:rRNA from 1 species
GACGAACGCUGGCGGCGCGCUUAACACAUGCAAGUCGAGCGAGAACCGGUCCUUCGGACCGGGGACGAGCGGCGAACGGGUGAGUAACACGUGGGUAAUCUGCCCUCGGUUCUGGGAGUAGCCCGGGGAAACCCGGGACUUAAUGCCAGAUAGCCUCCACCGCUCAAUGGCGGUGCGAGAAAAGGUGGCUUCGGCUUCCGACUGAGGAGGAGCCUGCGGCGGAUUAGCUUGUUGGUGAGGAACGGCUUACCAAGGCGACGAUCUGUAGCUGGUCUGAGAGGACGAUCAGCCACACUGGGACUGAGACACGGCCCAGACUCCUACGGGAGGCAGCAGUGGGGAAUCUUGCGCAAUGGGCGAAAGCCUGACGCAGCGACGCCGCGUGCGGGAAGAAGGCCU